UGGGGAAUAUUGCACAAUGGGCGCAAGCCUGAUGCAGCCAUGCCGCGUGUAUGAAGAAGGCCUUCGGGUUGUAAAGUACUUUCAGCGAGGAGGAAGGUGCUGUGGUUAAUAACCACGAUGCAAUUGACGUUACUCGCAGAAGAAGCACCGGCUAACUCCGUGCCAGCAGCCGCGGUAAUACGGAGGGUGCAAGCGUUAAUCGGAAUUACUGGGCGUAAAGCGCACGCAGGCGGUCUGUCAAGUCGGAUGUGAAAUCCCCGGGCUCAACCUGGGAACUGCAUCCGAAACUGGCAGGCUAGAGUCUUGUAGAGGGGGUAGAAUUCCAGGUGUAGCGGUGAAAUUGCGUAGAGAUCUGGAGGAAUACCGGUGGCGAAGGCGGCCCCCUGGACAAAGACUGACGCUCAGGUGCGAAAGCGUGGGAGCAAACA
rnacentral:rRNA from 1 species